rnacentral:tRNA from 4 species
UGGGGUGUAGUCAAGUGGUAAGACACAGGAUUUUGGUUCCUGCAUACGGAGGUUCGAAUCCUCCCACCCCAGCCA